AUAUACCCCCACUGGAAAAUAAAACAAAAAUUAAGUUUUACUAGUUAUUUACUUAAAUAAGGGUCUAUGAAAUUACCCUAAUAUAAAUCCAAAUUUUCACCCAAUUGAACCGUCUCCAACAGUCGGGGAGUUAAUCAAGAGACUUGCAAAAGUCGAUUCUUCGUCUCAAAGUCGAACGUGAAAUAAACUGAAAUUCGAAUUUUGCAGAAAUGUUUUAAUAUUGAACAGUGCAGAAGAGGUUAUAUAUCUGCUAGUCUGUUGUGGCAGUUAAUUGAAGAGACCUUAACGCCACUUCUUUUCAGAUUCAGUAGUUUUAAGUAUUGAUCAAGCAAUGAAGACCACUUAGUAGUAUGGAAAAAUGAAGUAUACGUUUCAAGCUUUGGUAAGAAACUUUUCAAUAUUAAUGUAUUGAUGAUGAUUCUUGGAAGUUAGAAAUAGGAUACUUGUACUAUGAUAUGAUUUAUAUGCAAGUAUGAGUAUUUAUGUCUGCUGCAAGUCAGCCUCCUUCAUUGUUUUUGCUUCAUGAAUAUGCAUAUUUAUUAAUUUUGUUUCUUUUACUU